UUUCCGUAGGUGAACCUGCGGAAGGAUCAUUAAUGAAGUCUGGGCUCCGGCCCUCUCUCUUCUACACACCUGUGAAUCUACCCUGUUGCUUUGGCAGGUCUCCAGAGGGUCCGCGGUGCUUCUGCGUCGCUCCCGAAGGUUAAACCGUGAGGUGCCUGCCAAGGACAUUAUAUCACCCUUUUUCAAUCGUCUGAUUUUUUAAACAAAAAAUAAAGAUAAAACUUUCAACAAUGGAUCUCUUGGCUCUGGCAUCGAUGAAGAACGCAGC
rnacentral:misc_RNA from 1 species